ensembl:lncRNA
CUUCCUUCCCCCCCGACUGCUCCCGGGGGGAGGGGGAGCCCCGUGACGUCAUCGCCGACGUCACCGGGGGCUGCGACGCACCGGUGGUGGCCACCCGUAAUGACGUCAUCACGGAGGGGCCGGACCAAGCCGGUGUCACCCGAGACCUUGGGGACACCCCGGGUGACGUCACCGAAGCCCCCGGAGAUGCCACCACCACGAUGGGACACGUCACUGUCCCUCAAGGAGGUGACAAAGUCUUGGUGGCCACCCGUGGGGACGUCAUCAUGGAGGGGACAGAGGGACCUGGUGUCACCCAAGACCUUGGGGACAUCUCCAAGGACGUCACCGAAGCCCCCGGAGAUGCCACCACCACGGGGGGACACGUCACUGUCCCUCAAGGAGGUGACAAAGUCUUGGUGGCCACCCGUGGGGACGUCAUCAUGGAGGAGACGGACCAGCCUGGUGUCACCCAAGGCCUUGGGGACAUCUCCAAGGACGUCACCGAAGCCCCCGGAGAUGCCACCACCGUGGUGGCACCCAUCACCGUGCCCCAUGUAGGGGAGAAGGUCUUGGUGGCCACCCAUGGGGACGUCCUCAUGGAGGGGACGGGCCAACCCGGUGUCACCCAAGACCCUGGGGACACCUUGGCCCAUGUCACUGAGGUCUCCUUAGAUGCCACCACCAAGAUGGGACCUGUCACUGAGCUCCAAGGAGGUGACAAGGUCCUGGUAGCCACCCGUGGGGACGUCAUCGUGGAGGGGACAGAGGAACCCGGUGUCACCAACUGCUCCAGGGACGUCACCGAAGCCCCCGGAGAUGCCACCACCACAGCGGGACCCGUCACCACGGCCCAGGGAUGUGACAACUUCAUGGUGGCCACCCGUGGGGAUGUCCUCAUGGAGGGGACAGAGGGACCUGGUGUCACUGAAAACCUUGGGGACAUCUCCAACCAUGUCACUGAAGCCCCCGGAGAUGCCACCACCACGAUGGGACCUGUCACUGUGCCCCAAGGAGGUGACAAAAUCCUGGUGGCCACCCGUGGAGACGUCUUCAUGGAGGUGACAGCCCAGCCCGGUGUCACCGAAGCCCUUGGGGACACCUCAGGUGAUGUCACCGUGGUCUCCAGAGAUGCCACCACUGUGGUGGGCCCCGUCCCCACGUCCCAGGGAGGGGACGGGGCCGUGGUGGCUGCCCACGGCCACAUCCUGCUGGAGGGGACGGAGGGACCGUGUGUCACCGCGGGCCAUGGAGGUGACACCACCCCAGCGGGAUGUGCCACCACGGCCCAGGGAGGGGACCAGGAUGUGGUGGCCCAAGAGGGUGGGGUCCUCAUGGAGGGGACAACCCAACCGGAUGCCACCCACCACCUCGGGGACACGUUGGGACACGUCACCGUGGGCUACGUGGGGGACGUGACCAGGGAGGGACCCGUCACCGCGACCCAGGGAGGUGACAACGUGAUGGUGGCCCACGGUGGGGACGUCCUCCUGGAGGGGACAGAGGAACCCGGUGUCACCAACUGCUCCAGGGAUGUCACCGAAGCCCCCGGAGAUGCCACCACCACGGCGGGACCUGUCACCACGGCCCAGGGAUGUGACAAGGUCCUGGUGGCCACCCGUGGGGACGUCCUGAUGGAGGGGACAGAGGGACCAAGUGCCACCAAUGCCCCUGGGGACAUCUCCAACCACGUGACUGAAGCCCCCGGAGAUGCCACCACCGUGGUGGCACCUGUCACUGUGUCCCACGUAGGGGAGAAGGUCUUGGUGGCCACCCAUGGGGA